CCUUCCAAAAGCUCAGUUUUGCUUCCGUUUUAUAGCUCCUGAUUUUUAUGCCCUGCUUUACCCUUCCAACCCGAAAGCCACCUCCACCCUCUCCCUCCCAACAUCAAAUAGAAGCACACACCUCCUCCCUCUUUUUCUCCUCCUUUUUCCAUAAGCUAAACAGACGCAGCUUGAUCUUCAAAUCCCUACACCUAAUAAAUCCAUCAGUUUUAGUUUUGUAAAUCCAACGGAGAGGUGGCGGAUUGCUUGACGCGUAUCGCGAUUGUCAGCUCUGACCGCUGCAGGCCCAAGAAGUUCCAUCAGGAAUGCAAGAAGAGCUGUCCUGUUGUUAAAACCGGGAAACUUUGCAUUGAGGUUACCCUUGCCUCAAAGAUUUCUUUCAUCUCUGAAGAGUUGUGCAUUGGUUGUUGUAUCUGUGUCAAGAAAUGCCCAUUUGAAGCAAUUAAAAUCAUCAACUUACCAAGGGAUUUGGAUAAAGAUACAACCCAUAGAUAUAAGAAUAUUACUUUUAAACUACAUAGGUUACCAGUUCCAAGGCCUGGGCAAGUUCUUGGUCUGGUUGGAACCAAUGGCAUUGGAAAAUCAACUACUCUUAAAGUUUUCGUUGGGAAGCUAAAGCCAAACUUGGGUCAUUUCAAUGUAUUUCUUUGAAGUUUUGUUUCUUUAAUUGCUUCUUUAACCGUGUGCUUUCUUUACCUAUUUGGAUAAUCUAUUUGCAGAAUCCUCCAUAUUGGCAGGAAAUUGUUAGAAGCUCAAAAAUUGAGAAAAUUUUGAGAGAGAACAGAAAGAACAGAGAAGGAGAGAAUAGGAGGAGAAGAAGUUUGUUUUCACUCAACAAUUUUCAUAACCGCCUUCCUCACACAUUUCAGCUUAAAAGGAAAGGAAAAUAAUAAGAAUUUGACGUGGCAAAAAUAGUUAAACAAAACUCAUCGUUUUACUAACGUACUACGCCCCGUUUUACUAAUUUUUCCUUCAGUCCAAAACUCAUUGUUUUAUUAACUUUUCUAGCUCUCAUCAAUACCACCCUCUCAGAACCAAAAUCCUUGUCCUCAAGGAUGAAAAUGAGGAAACUUAGCCUGCAACUCUGACAAAGACUCCCAAGUAGCAUCUUCUGGAAAAGAAUCAAUCCACUCGACAAGAACUUCAGUGAUAGCUUGAUUCCCUCUUCUAACCAUCCGCCUAUCGAUAAUUUUGACCGGUUCCUUUGGUAAAACACCAUGAACAUCGACCAAAGGUAAGUGAGAUUGUGAAGGAGUAGACCCUAUAUGUUUCUUCAAC